GCGCCUGUAGCUUAAUGGAUAGAGUAGAUGGCUUCGAACCAUCUGGUGGGGGUUCGAUUCCUCCCAGGCGCACCA
rnacentral:tRNA from 3 species